AGAGCGAACGCUGGCGGCAGGCCUAACACAUGCAAGUCGAGCGCUCCGCAAGGGGAGCGGCAGACGGGAGAGUAACACGUGGGAACGUACCCUUCAGUUCGGAACAACCCAGGGAAACUUGGGCUAAUACCGAAUACGUCCGUAAGGAGAAAGAUUUAUCGCUGAAGGAUCGGCCCGCGUCUGAUUAGCUUGUUGGUGAGGUAACGGCUCACCAAGGCGACGAUCAGUAGCUGGUCUGAGAGGAUGAUCAGCCUCACUGGGACUGAGACACGGCCCAGACUCCUACGGGAGGCAGCAGUGGGGAAUAUUGGACAAUGGGCGCAAGCCUGAUCCAGCCAUGCCGCGUGGGUGAUGAAGGCCCUAGGGUUGUAAAGCCCUUUCGGCGGGAAGAUAUGACGGUACCCGCAGAAGAGCCCCGGCUAACUUCGCGCCAGCAGCCGC
rnacentral:rRNA from 1 species